CGGGUGAGUAACGCGUGAGCAACCUGACUCUUUGAGGGGGAUAACACCUGGAAACAAGUGCUAAUACCGCAUAAGACCACGACCCGGCAUCGGGAUGAGGUCAAAGGAGCAAUCCGCAGAGAGAGGGGCUCGCGUCCCAUUAGAUAGAUGGCGGGGUAACGGCCCACCAUGUCCGCGAUGGGUAGCCGAGCUGAGAGGCUGAUCGGCCACACUGGAACUGAGACACGGUCCAGACUCCUACGGGAGGCAGCAGUGGGGAAUAUUGGGCAAUGGGCGAAAGCCUGACCCAGCAACGCCGCGUGAGGGAAGAAGGCCUUCGGGUUGUAAACCUCUGUCUUUGGUGACGAAACAAAUGACGGUAGCCAGAGAGGAAGCCCCGGCUAACUACGUGCCAGCAGCCGCGGUAAUACGUAGGGGGCGAGCGUUGUCCGGAAUUACUGGGCGUAAAGGGUGCGUAGGUGGCCUUUUAAGUUGGAUGUGAAAUCCCCGGGCUUAACUUGGGUGGUGCAUCUAAUACUGGAGGGCUAGAGUGCAGGAGAGGGAAGCGGAAUUCCUAGUG
rnacentral:rRNA from 1 species